UACGUAGGGACGAAGCGUUGUUCGGAUUUACUGGGCGUAAAGGGCGCGUAGGCGGCAUGUUAAGUCAGCUGUGAAAUCUCCGAGCUUAACUCGGAACUGUCAGCUGAUACUGAUGUGCUAGAGUGCAGAAGGGGCAAUCGGAAUUCUUGGUGUAGCGGUGAAAUGCGUAGAUAUCGAGAGGAACACCAGAGGUGAAGACGGGUUGCUGGGCUGACACUGACGCUGAGGCGCGAAAGCCAGGGGAGCAAACGGG
rnacentral:rRNA from 1 species